UACGUAGGGACCGAGCGUUGUCCGGGAUCAUUGGGCGUAAAGAGCGUGUAGGCGGCCACUUAAGUCCUGCGUGAAAUCUUGCGGCUCAACCGCAAGCGGUCGUGGGAAACUGGGUGGCUAGAGUGCGGGAGAGGAGAGUGGAAUUCCUGGUGUAGCGGUGAAAUGCGCAGAUAUCGGGAGGAACACCGGUGGCGAAGGCGGUGGUCUGGGCCGGUACUGACGCUGAGGAGCGGAAAAGCGUGGGGGAGCGAACAGG
rnacentral:rRNA from 1 species